rnacentral:rRNA from 1 species
GACGAACGCUGGCGGCGUGCUUAACGCAUGCAAGUCGAACGGUGAUGACAGGGCUUGCCUUGUCGGAUCAGUGGCGAACGGGUGAGUAACACGUGAGUAACCCGCCCCAGACUCUGGGAUAACCCCGGGAAACCGGAGCGAAACCCGGUCAUGACAAUUGGACGCAUGUCUUGGGGGUGGAACGGUUUUCGGUCUGGGAUGGGCUCGCAGCCUAUCGGCUUGUGGGUGAGGGAGUGGCUCACCAAGGCGACGAAGGGUAGCCUGCCUGAGAGGUCGACCGGCCACACUGGGACUGAGACACGGCCCAGACUCCUACGGGAGGCAACGGAGGAGAAUAUGACACAAUGGGCUAGAGCCUGAUGCAGCGACGCCGCGUGAGGGAUGACGGCCUGCGGGUUGUAAACCUCUUUCAGCAGGGAAGAAGCGUGAGUGACGGUACCUGCAGAAGAAGCACCGGCUAACUACGUGCCAGCCGCCGCGGUAAUAC